rnacentral:lncRNA from 1 species
UUUAUUUGAGUUGGAAGCCUGCUGCAAAAUCUGUUUUGGAGUUUGUUCGAUCUGUCCAUGAUGAUACAAAUUUGUUAUGAUCAUACUGCAUUUUGAAGUUUUGGGGUAUUUUUCUUCCAUUUCUUUUCUUCUUCCAAUUUCUGCUUAUCUUUAUAUUCUUUCUUCUGUAUAUUAUUUUCUAAUGGUCACUUGUUGUGCAAUAGCUUUCUUUUAAGUCAUUGGCUACUUGUUGUGAAAUGGUGUCACUUCUUAGGAACGUUUUGGCGAGCAUGGAUGCUGUUUAUUUUAGUUGGACGCCCACUGCAAAAUCUGUUUUGGAGUUUGUUCGAUCUGUUCGUGAUGAUACCAAUCUGUUAUGAUCCUAUUGCACUUGCAACUUUUAGGGUAUUUUUCUUCCAUUUCUUUUCUACUUCCAGUUUCAUUUUCAAUUUCUGCAAAUUUUUUAGUUUUUCAUAUGUAUAUUGUUUUCCAA